rnacentral:rRNA from 1 species
UACAGAGGUCUCAAGCGUUGUUCGGAUUCAUUGGGCGUAAAGGGUGUGUAGGUGGCGCCGUAAGUCGGGUGUGAAAUUUCGGAGCUUAACUCCGAAACUGCAUUCGAUACUGCGGUGCUUGAGGACUGGAGAGGAGACUGGAAUUCAUGGUGUAGCAGUGAAAUGCGUAGAGAUCAUGAGGAAGACCAGUGGCAAAGGCGGGUCUCUGGACAGUUCCUGACACUGAGACACGAAGGCCAGGGGAGCAAACGGG